rnacentral:rRNA from 1 species
GAUGAACGCUAGCGAUAGGCUUAACACAUGCAAGUCGAGGGGCAGCAUGGUCUUAGCUUGCUAAGACUGAUGGCGACCGGCGCACGGGUGCGUAACGCGUAUGCAACUUGCCUCACAGAGGGGGAUAACCCGUCGAAAGACGGACUAAUACCGCGUACACUCCAUCUUGGGCAUCCAAGGUAGAGGAAAUGAAAUUCGCUGUGAGAUAGGCAUGCGUCCCAUUAGCUAGUUGGUGAGGUAACGGCUCACCAAGGCGACGAUGGGUAGGGGAACUGAGAGGUUGAACCCCCACACUGGUACUGAGACACGGACCAGACUCCUACGGGAGGCAGCAGUGAGGAAUAUUGGUCAAUGGGCGAGAGCCUGAACCAGCCAAGUCGCGUGAAGGAUGACUGUCUUAUGGAUUGUAAACUUCUUUUAUACGGGAAUAACAAGAGUCACGUGUGACUCCCUGCAUGUACCGUAUGAAUAAGCAUCGGCUAACUCCGUGCCAGCAGCCGCGGUAAUACGGAGGAUACGAGCGUUAUCCGGAUUUAUUGGGUUUAAAGGGUGCGUAGGCGGCCUGUUAAGUCAGCGGUGAAAUCUAGGAGCUUAACUCCUAAAUUGCCAUUGAUACUGGCGGGCUUGAGUGUAGAUGAGGUAGGCGGAAUGCGUGGUGUAGCGGUGGAAUGCAUAGAUAUCACGCAGAACUCCGAUUGCGAAGGCAGCUUACUAAGGUACAACUGACGCUGAAGCACGAAAGCGUGGGUAUCAAACAGG